UGAAAAAUAGAGGAAACUUACAUAGAGAGUUUGAGGAUAGAGCUGAGAUAGACAGUGAGGGCCGAAGGUUUGAGGCUCCAUUAAUUCAGAUAUUCAUUUUACAAGUUUCAGGUGCCGAGGAUGAACUUGGACUGCUAGUAGCGGGCUUAGGUAGAAGAGUUCGUGUUGAGGAAUUAAUUUAAAUUAUUUAGAGAUGUUAUAUUUUAAUUUUGAGGAAAUUGAUUUAUAUCAAUGAAAUUAUAUUUCUUUUUGAGA